ensembl:lncRNA
GCAAGACACUAAAGGAACACAUAAGAGACACCUGACCCAAUCUUCAAGAAUCAAGAAGAUUUUCUGAAGGAAGUGACAUCAAAAUUGGAAGCUGAAAGAAAAUCAGGAGAUUAUCAGGUAUAUGUGAAACUGGAUCUCAUUUGGUUUUGGUUUGCAUUUCCUUGGUUUUGGUGUUGGGAUUAUAUUGGACUCAUGAAGCAAAAACUGUUGUCUCUUUUUGGAAUCUCUUAAAGAGUUUAUGUUUGGUUGAUACUUUUUUCUUCUUUAAAUAUUUGGAAGAAUUUCCCAGUCAGGUUGUCUUCUUAAUGGAGUUUUCUUUACAAGAAGAAUUCAGUUU